rnacentral:rRNA from 1 species
GACGAACGCUGGCGGCGUGCUUAACACAUGCAAGUCGAACGGAAAGGCCCUGCUUUUGUGGGGUGCUCGAGUGGCGAACGGGUGAGUAACACGUGAGUAACCUGCCCUUGACUUUGGGAUAACUUCAGGAAACUGGGGCUAAUACCGGAUAGGAGCUCCUGCUGCAUGGUGGGGGUUGGAAAGUUUCGGCGGUUGGGGAUGGACUCGCGGCUUAUCAGCUUGUUGGUGGGGUAGUGGCUUACCAAGGCUUUGACGGGUAGCCGGCCUGAGAGGGUGACCGGCCACAUUGGGACUGAGAUACGGCCCAGACUCCUACGGGAGGCAGCAGUGGGGAAUCUUGCACAGUGGGAGGAAGCCUGAUGCAGCAACGCCGCGUGCGGGAUGACGGCCUUCGGGUUGUAAACCGCUUUCGCCUGUGACGAAGCGUGAGUGACGGUAAUGGGUAAAGAAGCACCGGCUAACUACGUG